UAACAAUUAUGGUAACACUGAGCCAAAAGACUCAAAAAAGAGAAAAAAAGUUAAGAAAAAGAAAGAAAAUUAUAGAAGGAAAAGAGAUUCAUCCAAUCACUGAUCGUGCUGCAGUGAGAGACACCCCUAAGAGCCAAUAGUAGCGGCGCAUUCAUAAGUCCCGCCCACUGGUCGCGCCGGCGCUGCUUUCAGCGUGAGCAGAUGAGAGAGAGAGAGAGUCAGAGCAGAUCAGCACAGAGCAGACAGUUUCUCCAGAAAAUCCACUCAUCUAACUGGAGAUGUGAUUGAGUGCACUGAAAGCGGAGCUUUUGAAGUCGAUGCGUCAGCCUGAAGAGAGAGACGGAGCGGAUCCCAGAGUGCAUCAGCGCUACCCAAAGAAAAAGGACAGUGAUUCCCAAACCACAGAGAAAUGAAUGACUGUUGAGGAGUAUCAAGACACAACCUUGACAGAGACUCAGAAGAGGCUGGAAAAAAUGGAGGAGAACGAAAAAUUGAGAAAUGAUGACAAAAAAAGCUACCAAAUCUGAUAAAUGAAGUGAAGAUGGCCCUGAAGUCUCAGUGUUCGUCAGCAUCAGUCACAUGCCACAGAGUAAUUACAGAGCCCUUCCAACAGAACAGGUAGGUCUAACAGUAGUGAUCAGGAGCCAGUUUGUGUGGGAGUGCUUUCUUCUGCAGUCAUCUGGGUCUUUCCUCCACUGCGUGAGGCGUGAGGUUCAGCAUCUGUGCAGUGUGUGUGUGUGUGUGUGU